ACGCUGGCGGCGUGCUUAACACAUGCAAGUCGAACGGGGUUUUAUUUAAGCUUGCUUUUAUGGAACCUAGUGGCAAACGGAUGAGUAACGCGUGGGUAACCUGCCUCGUAGAGGGGGAUAACAGUUGGAAACGACUGCUAAUACCGCAUAAGCGCACGGUAUCGCAUGAUAUAGUGUGAAAAGAUUUAUCGGUGUAAGAUGGACCCGCGUCUGAUUAGAUAGUUGGUGAGGUAACGGCUCACCAAGUCGACGAUCAGUAGCCGGCCUGAGAGGGUGAACGGCCACAUUGGGACUGAGACACGGCCCAAACUCC
rnacentral:rRNA from 1 species